rnacentral:lncRNA from 1 species
AUUUUUCUCUUUGGUCGUCAAUGAUUGAAAAUUAAAUUGUUUUUGCAUGAUUAUUUUUAAAAAUAUGAUAGCUAUUAUGAGAUAAAUGGAGUAAAAACAAAUUAUCAUGUUAAUAACUUUAUACAUAUUAUAUUAUGAGACAACUUAUUAUACCUUAAUUUAACAUGCAUAUAUAAUCUAUAAAAAAAAUAAAAAAUAAAAAAUUAUGUUUUAAAAAAAUACAAACUUGGGUCAAACAUAACUAAAUUUCCACAAAAUUAUUUAGACCACAUUAUCACAUAAAAAAUUGGACCACAAAACCACGUGCAAAACACACCACUAAUUUGUGAUAGGCUACAAAAUAAAAAAAGUC